GGGCUGCCACUCAGGGUAGGAGGCCUGUGGAGGAAAUGAAACAUAUACUGUCAAGUUCACUAGUAUCCUUUCCAAGUUCACUAGUAUCUCUUGAGGCCUUUUUAAAAAAAAAAAAAAUUUAAAACCAGAAAAUGGGACUUCUGGGUUCUUUCCCAGAUCCGUCUUGCUGUCUGACCUGACGCAAGUCAUUUCAGUGACUUCUGCCUUUGCUUUUUCCUUCUAUACCAUGGCUGCAAGCUGGGCAAUAGGAAGAUAAACCACUGCCAUCACCUGGAGACCAUCACAAUGGGCUGACCAUGCGUCAUGCUGCCAACAGCUAAUCAAGAGGAUCUUUAUUAGCGGGGGAGGAAGAUGACGCCCAGCAGCUAUUGUGAGCUUUGCUACCGUCAUAGCACGUGACGCUGUGAUAGUUGUAGACUUCAGAUGGAAGAUGCAAGCCCAUUGCUAUCUCCCGCUGAGAGGGAAGGGACAGGCCAGCCUUUGUUCUCCUGUGAACCUGUUCACAGUGAGGACACAACGCUGCUCGGGACAAGGGAGACGGAAAGGAAGAGACCAGCGAGCAGGACCUUAGAGGAGAGUUAUCUGCUGGUCCACAAGUCAGGAGGAUGGACAGGACAGCCAAAGGCAACAGACACAAGGAGCGAUGCCACAGGAUUCAAUCUCACCAUCCUUGCCCAGGCGAAGUCCCCACUGAAGUGAGAUUUCUACUGGAGGAGAAAUCCCAGUAAUUGCUGUGGGAUUUGGUAGAUGGCCAUGUCUUCCUACAACCAUAACUGGAUGCCUAAUUCAAUGCAGAAGCAGCUGCUCCAGGAGUAACGAGGUUGAAGGAUGCCACCACAAGCUUCCAAACCUACUUAGAUACCUUGGUAGCAAUAAAGCAAGCUCCACUUGCUCUACAGUUUUGUUCUCUGUGAUAAAAUACAGGUCUGAAUUUUGCUGGCUGGUAUCAGUCCCAAUCUUGAGCACUUUCAUAGGCCAUGAAAAAAGGAGAUCCUCCAAGCAAAGCUGACGGUGCAAAUAAUUUUAACAUUUUAAUAUGGUAUCCAAAGUGCUCAUGAUGCUGAAUAGAGAGAUAAAAACUACAACCAAGGUUUGAGGGGUAUACAGUCAAGGCUAGACACCAGAAAUGGAGAUGUGCCAUCAGACCAAAAAGAGAGAGGUCUGCAUCUUGUUAGAGCCCUUUUCAACUCCAUUUAGAUUUAAUUAGGGUUGGUGUAAAAAUGUUGGGAUCAUUGCUGGGGACAGAACGUGUCAUUGAUUGUGGGUUUGGAGGAAGACUCUGAAGCAGGAGGAAGCUGGUUUUGUUGCAUGUGGAGUCCAAAACCAGGCACACAGGGCAGCGUAAAAGUGCAGAGAUGUUUGCAAAUAAAGGGCACAAAGGAUCAAGACUAGAAAGAGUAUGAAGUUGUGGACACGUCACAAUUACGAUGGAGCAAUUCACCCGGAGUUUGCUCUGCAAGAGAGGUGCUCAACCCCCGGCCCAAGAAGCCAUGUCAUCUGGCCCACCAGGCUCUCCGUGGUUCCAGAAGUUUGGUGGUGGGGAGCAGUGGCAGAGAACUGCUGCUCAUCUGCUACUCAAUUUAUGGACCUCUGGGGAGCUAGGUGGGUCGGAUACUGUGGUUGUGCACGCUACACCAAACACAUGGGUCUGGGGCAAUGUGAAGCCCCAUCUGGGUGCAUGGGGCCAGGCUGAGGGAGUGCAGUCUGAUUGGGGUGACCCCAAAUUGGGCAUGGGAGGUCAAACUCUGUGCACGGACCCUGCAGGGGAGGCAGCCUGAAGGCUAGCUCUGCGCCACUCAUUCAUCCUGCGGGGCUGAAACAUUGAACACUGGUGCUCUGCAAGAAGGAGCUGACAUGGGGCCAGUGCUCUUGAACAAGAUACGAUCACAGGUCUGGCCACGAGGUGACAGGAGAGCCGGUUCACAUUGAGUGGUGAGCUGCCCCGGAAAUUAAACUUGUACAGGGAACUUCUAUAUCCCAUCUAGUUGUGUUCAUAGAUAUUUUCCCAGGAGUAACUAUAUACCGGAUAGAAGUGAUUUAUUACAAUGCAGAGCUGUGCAUAUGUCUGCUUCACUCUUACUAGAUGAAGUCCAUUUACCCUGUUCCAAACAUCUUGUGUCUGCACCCGCAGUGGGUUAGCGGUGGGCAAGAGAUGGGAUGGGACUCGGGCUGUUUAAGGAAGGACUCUGCAUCCAAAUGUUCAGAUAUGCCAUUGCUGAGUGCAUGAAACUCUCUCCCCAUCUGUACAUAUGUAUGCAACCACAAGAGUCAAGCUCAGCGUGUGGACACCGAGAACCUCAAGAUACAGAUUGUGCCCUAUAUUAGCAACAGUUCAGAUGCAUUUUCAUUUAUUUAUAAUAUCACCAAAAUGACACAUAAACCUAACAGAUGCCUUCCAGCCUUAUCCAGCAAUUUACGGGGGAGUUUGUCUUUCUUUGAGCUUCCACGGGCUUCUCUUUGUCUUUCUGAUAAAUCAGUAAACCCAGCAGGCCUUUGAAC